AUGUACAUGUAUGCUUGUGCUUCUGCAGAGGGUCAGCUUCCUUUGUAUGAGUGGAGAAAGAAUCUGGAAGAUGAAGAGCAGGCUUCAUCACUGCUUAUCAAAAGAGAAGCACUUCAAAGAGCCAUGACACUCAUGACACACCUGCAGCUCAAUGCACAGAGCGGAGAGAGAGAGACGGAGAGAAAGGGAGAGGGCAAAGGACAAGGGAGAGGAAGAUUCAGAGGGGCAUAAAGAGAAGAAGACAAAGAAAACCAGAGGAGAUUAUACAGAAAGUGUAAAUAAGAAAAAUGGGAUCUCAUUCUUUCUCUUAAAUCUCAUUACUGCAAAGCCGGAAAGUAGUAAUUAAAAUUAGCAUGAUGAAAAACUCAGUUUCUCAAAUAGUGAGGAUCCUUCAUAUCUAUAAAAUAGCUGCUGGAUGAGAGAUCCUGAAGGUCUGGCUCUGGGAUUUGAACGUUAUUUAAAGGGAUAAUUUCCUCAAAAAUGAACAUGUUGUCAUCAUUUACCCACCCCCGUGUAGUACCAAACCUGACUUUCUGUGGAACACAAAUGCUAUUUAGAAAAUUUAAAAAGCAUUCUUCAAAAUAUCUUGUUUUCUGUUCCUCAGAAUUAAGAAAGUCUUAAAGGUUUGGAAUGACAUGAAGGUGAGUAAAUGAUGACAGAUUGUUCAUUAUUUGGUGAACUGUUCCUUUAAGUGUUGCAGUUGUUCAAGCACUGAAGAGGUCAAUGGAAACAGUCUCUCCACAAGGGAUUUUCAGUGCUGUUUGUGACUGACAAAAAACACAUUGAGGGAGACAGCUGAAUGUCACCCUCGCACACCACUCUGACAGCAGCCUGGAGGAAGUGAUGUCAUAAACCGAGGGAGGUGUUGUCAUCCGCUCUAGAAUACAAGCUGAAUGCAUGUGCUAUAUUUCACACAGUAUGUUGCUCACCUGCAGUUACAUGUUACUGUCUUUCUCUUUUAUGCUGGUGUUUUUCUGCUUGAUUUAUGAAUUCAUCCAGCAGUUACUUACAGUUGGUGGUCAGCAUCAUGCAUCCUGAGAGGGGUGUGGUCUGUGAGGUCAUUGGUCAGGAAUGUGGGACUAAAUUAACCCAGAAAAAAAUGGACUUGGAAUGAAAUACUGUCUCAUUGCUUAUACUGAAUAUCACAGUAUACUUGCUACUAUUUUUUUGUUCAAUGGAACACAUUAAGAUGCAGCCACAUUAGCAAAAUUUCUGCAAAAUUUUAGGCAAA
ensembl:lncRNA